GACGAACGCUGGCGGCGUGCGUAACACAUGCAAGUCGAACGGAAAGGCCCUGCUUUCGUGGGGUGCUCGAGUGGCGAACGGGUGAGUAACACGUGAGUAACCUGCCCUUGACUUUGGGAUAACUUCAGGAAACUGGGGCUACUACCGGAUAGGAGCUCCUGCUGCAUGGUGGGCGUUGGAACGUUUCGGCGGUUGGGGAUGGACGCGCGGCUUAUCAGCUUGUUGGUGGGGUAGUGGCUUACCCAGGCUUUGACGGGUAGCCGGCAUGAGAGGGUGGCCGCGGACAUUGGGACUGAGAGAGGGCGCAGUGGGCAACGGUAGGCAGUGGUGGGGAGUAUGGCACAGUGGGCGGGAGCGUGAUGCAGCAACGCUGGGUGCGGGAAGACGGCUUUCGGGUUGUGAACCGCUGUAGCUUGUGACGAAGCGGGAGUGACGGUAAUGGGUAAAGAAGCACCGGCUAACUACGUG
rnacentral:rRNA from 1 species